rnacentral:rRNA from 1 species
UGAGCAAUCUGCCCUUCUCUUUGGAAUAAGCGUUGGAAACGACGUCUAAUGCCGAAUACGACCUCCUUUCGCAUGAUCGGAGGUGGAAAGCUCCGGCGGAGAAGGAUGAGCUCGCGGCCUAUCAGCUAGUUGGUGUGGGUAAUGGCCCACCAAGGCGACGACGGGUAGCCGGCCUGAGGAGGGUGACCGGCCACACGUGGGACUGAGACACGGCCCAGACCUCCGUACGGGAGGNAGCG